rnacentral:rRNA from 1 species
AAGGUAGCGAAAUUCCUUGUCAGGUAAGUUCUGACCCGCACGAAUGGCGUAAUGAUUUGGGCACUGUCUCAACAGCCCGCCCGGCGAAAUUGUAGUACUGGUGAAGAUGCCAGUUACCCGCAACUAGACGGAAAGACCCCAUGGAGCUUUACUGUAGCCUAAUACUGAAGAUCGGUAAUGCAUGUACAGGAUAGGUGGGAGCCAGCGAAACCCGGGCGUCAGCUCGGAUGGAGGCAACCUUGGAAUACCACCCUUGUAUUGCUGGUUUUCUAACCUGCGGCCAUGAAUCUGGUCGGGGGACACUGUUAGGUGGGCAGUUUGACUGGGGCGGUCGCCUCCAAAAGCGUAACGGAGGCGCUCAAAGGUUGGCUCAGCACGGACGGAAAUCGUGCAUAGAGUGCAAACGCAUAAGCCAACUUGACUGCGAGACCGACGGGUCGAGCAGGUACGAAAGUAGGAGUUAGUGAUCCGGUGGUAUGUGAGUGGAAAUGCCAUCGCUCAACGGAUAAAAGCUACCCUGGGGAUAACAGGCUGAUCUCCCCCAAGAGUCCACAUCGACGGGGAGGUUUGGCACCUCGAUGUCGGCUCAUCACAUCCUGGGGCUGUAUUCGGUCCCAAGGGUUCGGCUGUUCGCCGAUUAAAGUGGCACGCGAGCUGGGUUCAGAACGUCGUGAGACAGUUCGGUCCCUAUCUGUUGCGGGCGUAAGAGAUUUGAAGGGAGCUGUCCUUAGUACGAGAGGACCGGGAUGGACGUACCUCUGGUGCACCAGUUGUCCUGCCAAGGGCAUAGCUGGGUAGCUAUGUACGGACGAGAUAAACGCUGAAAGCAUCUAAGCGUGAAACUCCCCCUAAGAUGAGAUCUCUCAUCCUUCAAGGAGUAAGGACCCAGAAAGACGAUCUGGUUGAUAGGCCGAAGGUGGAAGCGCAGUAAUGUGUGCAGCUGAUCGGUACUAAUAGUCCGAGGGCUUGACCUA